rnacentral:rRNA from 1 species
UACAGAGGGUGCAAGCGUUGUUCGGAAUUACUGGGCGUAAAGCGCGUGUAGGCAGUUCUGCAAGUCGGCUGUGAAAGCCCUGGGCUCAACCUAGGAAGUGCACUCGAAACUGCAGAACUGGAGUCCUGGAGAGGAAGGCGGAAUUCUCGGUGUAGAGGUGAAAUUCGUAGAUAUCGAGAGGAACACCGGUGGCGAAGGCGGCCUUCUGGACAGUGACUGACGCUGAGACGCGAAAGCGUGGGGAGCAAACAGG